CCUAAUCUCUACUCUAUUUGCUUGCAGUUUGUGGUGCCUUGUGACAAGGUUCCGAGCAUGCCCACCAUCACCUUUGUCAUUAAUGGAUCCAAGUUCCCACUGCUUCCCUCUGCCUACAUUGCCCAGGACGGUGGAAGUUGUGUAGUUGCAAUUGAGACCACGUAUGUCCCAUCUCGGAAUGGACAACCUCUGUGGAUCCUGGGUGACGUCUUCCUUAAGGAAUAUUACUCCGUCUUCGAUCUGGCCAACAACAGAGUGGGCUUUGCAAAAUCAGCUUAGACAAUGCCAUACCUAUCUCCUUUUCAUUCCAAUGCUGGUGUUCCACGGAUUCUAAUAUAAUGACUUUAAAGUAGACCUACAAUAUACAUCAUAGAUACUGUAUAUUUAUGUUCUAUUGACUGUCUCUCAUGGGUAGAGAUAAAUAAAUCUGUCCAAUGUAAUUACACUCACAUUCUCUUUUCCCAUCCUUUAAUAAAUUUCAUCUUUUUUGCUGUAA